UUUUUCAACUGAUUUUUAUAGUUCGUUCUUAUGUUGUACUGUUAUACCACUGUCCCAGGUUAGGGGGAGGGUUGGGAUCCCGCUAACAUGUUUAACCCCGCCACAUUAUUUAUGUAUGUGCCUGUCCCAAGUCAGGAGCCUGUAUAUUCAGUGGUUGUCGUUUGUUUAUGUGUUACAUAUUUGUUUUUCGUUCAUUUUUUUUUUUACAUAAAUAAGGCCGUUAGCUUUCUCGUUUGAAUUGUUUUACAUUGUCUUAUCGGGGCCUUUUGUAGCUGACUAUGCGGUAUGGGCUUUGCUCAUUGUUGAAGGCCGUACGGUGACCUAUAGUUGUUAAUGUCUGUGUCAUUUUGGUCUUUUGUGGAUAGUUGUCUCAUUGGCAAUCAUACCACAUCUUCUUUUUUUUAUUUGUUCUUUUUUU
rnacentral:lncRNA from 1 species